UACGGAGGGUGCGAGCGUUGUCCGGAAUCACUGGGCGUAAAGGGCGCGUAGGCGGCGCGACAAGUCAAUGGUGAAAGCCCGAGGCUCAACUUCGGGUCGGCCACUGAUACUGUUGGGCUUGAGCACUGUAGAGGCAGGUGGAAUUCCGGGUGUAGCGGUGGAAUGCGUAGAGAUCCGGAAGAACACCGGUGGCGAAGGCGGCCUGCUGGGCAGUUUAGCUGACACUGAGGCGCGACAGCGUGGGGAGCAAACAGG
rnacentral:rRNA from 1 species